rnacentral:rRNA from 1 species
UACGUAGGGUGCAAGCGUUAAUCGGAAUUACUGGGCGUAAAGCGUGCGCAGGCGGUUCGCUAAGACCGAUGUGAAGUCCCCGGGCUUAACCUGGGAACUGCAUUGGUGACUGGCGGGCUAGAGUAUGGCAGAGGGGGGUAGAAUUCCACGUGUAGCAGUGAAAUGCGUAGAGAUGUGGAGGAAUACCGAUGGCGAAGGCAGCCCCCUGGGCCAAUACUGACGCUCAUGCACGAAAGCGUGGGGAGCAAACAGG